AAGUCGUAACAAGGUUUCCGUAGGUGAACCUGCGGAAGGAUCAUUUCCGAAAAAACAUAACCAUUAACCCCACUGAGAGAAAUGAAGGUGGAGGAGGGGAUUAAUUUCUCUUCUUUUGCUUUUGUUUUCUUUUUGUUCAUGUGUACUUGAUAUGUUUACUCGUAUCAUUUUAGUCCAAGUGUCUCCCUUUUUUUUACUCUCGAAGACUUCUUUGUUGUAAGUCGGAGAGAGGCCAUUGAAGAACCCCUUUUAUCCUUGUCAAAGAAGAAUUUAUUUUUUUCAAUGAUGUGGAGAAAAAAACAAAUUAAAAGUUAUUUAAUCCUUUUGAAACAUAAAGAAUGAAACAAAAACAAAUUUAUACGACAACUUUUAACGGUGGAUCUCUUGGCUCGU
rnacentral:misc_RNA from 1 species